UGGAGUAGUUGUCCUUUAAUUAAUUCUAAAUUACAGUAAUUGCCCUUUAAAUUGACAUUCGAGCAGAAAAACACGACACUGUCAAAUUCCUCAAAACUAUGCGGAGGAAAAGAAGAAAGCCUUAAAAUUUGAAAAGCAACAAAACAUUAUAAGAAAUCAACGGUGUAGUGAAGAAAUAGUAUUUAAAAGGUGCGAUAAAUAAUUUUGAAGCAUUUAGUUGAGUAAAACUGGACAAGAUGUAAGGCCGCUCAUUGCUUGUUGUAAACAUGUCUCACUUGAAAGUCCUCAGGAAAACAAAACACUUAUUUGGAUAUAUUUCUGUAGUCAGUGAGUAAGAAACCUUAUAAGUAAUACAUACUUUUUUAUUAUAUUGUUAUGAAUUGCUGUACAUUUUAUUAUCUAUUUUCAUGUAUAAAAUCUGUAGCUCUUCUGUUUUUAUGUCGUAAGUAAUAGAUAAGUAGUAGUUGUAGUAAAUUUGUGCAUGUUGUUAUGCAUUGUUUUAAACAUAUCCAUAUGUAAUGCAUGUCUAGCUGUUUAACAAAACUCAUUGUAGACCAUCGUCAUACAUAUACAUUGGAAAUAUCAAAUUUCCUUUUAGUACUAGUAAUGAACUCCAUUUUAGAUAAAAAUAAAUAUAUGUUUUAC
rnacentral:misc_RNA from 1 species